CUCCAGUAAAAUUAAGCAUCAAGUAAACAAGUGGAAAGUGACCUACACUUUUAACUUGUCUCACUAGUGCCUAAAUGUAGUAAAGGCUGCUUCAGUUUUGUAUGUAGUUGGGUUUUUUGGAGUCCGAAGGUAUCCAUCUGCAGAAAUUGAGGCCCAAAUUGAAUUUGGAUUCAAGUGGAUUCUAAAUACUUUGCUUAUCUUGAAGAGAGAAGCUUCAUAAGGAAUAAACAAGUUGAAUAGAGAAAACACUGAUUGAUAAUAGGCAUUUUCAUGGUCUUUUUAAUGUUUUCUGUUGUGAAACAUUUCAAGAUUUAUUGAUUUUUUUUUUCACUUUCCCCAUCACACUCACAGGCACGCUCACACUUUUUAUUUGCCAUAAUGAACCGUCUAGCCCCUGUGAAGAUCUCCUAUGAGAACAUGCGUUUUCUGAUAACUCACAACCCUACCAAUGCUACUCUCAACGAGUUCACAGAGGAACUUAAGAAGUAUGGAGUGACGACUUCGGUUUGAGUUUGUGAUGCUACAUAUGAUAAAGCUCCAGUUGAAAAAGAAGGAAUCCACGUUCUAGAUUGGCCAUUUGAUGAUGGAGCUCCAUCCCCUAAUCAGAUAGUAGAUGAUUGGUUAAACCUGUUAAACACCAAAUUUCAUGAAGAGCCAGGUUGCUGUGUUGCAGUGCAUUGCGUUGUGGAAUUGGGAAGGGCACCUGUGCUGGUUGCACUUGCUUUGAUUGAAUGUGGAAUGAACGGGGUCUUGUGACCUUUUACCUUG
rnacentral:lncRNA from 1 species